GAGCUGCAGAUCGCCGCCCCAGCCCCUGGUGACCGCACGCAAUGUCGCCCAGUGGACAAUGCUGUGGCCGAUGAUCCACAGACGCACCGCCCCGACACCUGAAAAUAAAAGAGUAAGAGAGCCGGGUCAGGGGGCUGAUGGGGAGGGAACGUUAGCAUGGUUUCUGGAUGUAUCCCCUGUAAGCGUUCGACUUCCACCGUCCCAUAUCCAUUAUCCUCUCCGCCUGUAAACCCAUGUGCACGGCAGUUGUUGCAGCCCCGAUGCGGAAAGAAUGUGCGGCGUACUCCCCAGAUGGGAGCCCCAUGACAGCGAUUCCCUUGCGCAUAACCCUCGUGAACUGGUGCUUUGACAGGCGAGAGCCAUCUGCGUGUAUGAAGAAAGGGCCACUGGCUUUUGGUCUUAAGCACAGGAACUUUCUUGCGUCCUUUCCUGGGCAAGGGCCAGUAACAAUAUGGGCCAAACAUCAUGCUGCUCUCUGCCACUCCGGUGAGCACCACCUGCAAGGUAUCUUGGCUGGUGCAGUGACACAACACCAUAUUCCUGAGGAUGCCAGAAGUCAACACUAACCAUGAACAAAGCUCAUAUGUCCACACCCUGAACCACGGCUGAUUUGAGCUUAGUUGGCAAAGAUUGCUGAAGAGAGAGAUCAGACUAUUCAAGGGUAGGUUUACUCCAAAUCUGGAGUGUCCCCAGAAUUUUGCUUCCCUGGGAACAUAGUAUAAAGUUUAAAUGGUGACUCACAGAACAACCAGAGUAUCACUGGUCUACUAUGGUCUUGGGCAGAGUGCUAGAAUGCCAGCAUCUUUCUGAGGAUUCCAUGUCAUGAAAUUCAACUAUCCAAAAAUGCAUUGGAAUUAAUUGCCUUGUUUAACUUAUAGAGUCAUCUAUUUGAAUGGAUCUACUCUGAGUGAACCGUCAUUGGUUACAACCCCACAUGUCUUCAUCUUGAGCCACCACAGAUUUAAGCCACCAAGCCAUGGAGCUCCUUUGAAGAUCCAGAUUUGAUCAAGCUGAUGUAAUUGCUCACUGGGCAAAUUCAGGUUGUUGCUUGGUCCUCCAACUGUUCUAGAAAUAUCAAUAUAAAUGGGUACAUUUGUUGCUUGGGAAAAAUCAAGUUCCACGUCCCUUGGACCUUAAGGAGGGGGGCAACCCUAAGUAGAGAGGCGGGUUAAAGAACUGGAGAGAUAUAGGGGGAGGUAAAGCCAUGAUACACAAAAGAUGUGCUCGUUUCUCUCUGGUCGGGGACAGAGGGUGGCGCUUGGGGGAAUUGUCAUCGCGCCACUCCGUGGUGUGUCGCGUCCCUCAGGGGGCGAUACUCUCCCCGAUGCUUUUAACAUCUUUAUGCGCCCCCUCGCCCAGCUUGUCCAGAGUUUUGGGCUGGGCUGCCAUCAGUAUGCUGAUGACACCCAACUCUAUCUGUUGAUGGAUGGCCAUCCUGACUCGGCCCCAGACACACUGAUCAGAUGUUUGGAAGCUGUGGCUGGAUGGUUACAUGGGAGCCGGUUGAAGUUAAAUCCUUCAAAGACAGAGGUCCUCUGGCUGGGACGGGACAAUAUGGGAUUGAGGGGGCAACUCCCAUCUCUUGCGGGGGUGCAAUUAGUGCCAGCACUGUCCGUUAAGAGUUUGGGUGUAAUCUUCGAUACCUCCCUCUCCAUGGAGGCGCAGAUUGCAGCUAUAACAAAGGCGGCAUUUUUUCAUCUCCGCCAAGCUAAGCAGUUGGCUCCUUACCUCUCUCGCCCUGACCUAGCCACUGUGAUCCACGCAACGGUCACCUCCAGACUGGAUUAUUGUAACUCGCUCUACGUGGGGCUGCCCUUGAGACUGACCCAGAAACUCCAGCGGGUGCAGAACACCACGGCGAGACUCCUUACGGGAUCCUCGCUGCGAGAUCACAUUCAUCCGCUGUUAUACCAGCUGCACUGGCUCCCUGUGGAGUACAGGAUCAGGUUUACGGUGCUGGUUUUAACCUUCAAAGCCCUAUACAGCCUAGGACCCUCGUACCUACGGGACCGCCUCCCCUGGUAUGCCCCACAGAGGAACUUACAGUCUUCAAAUAAAAACAUCUUGAAGGUCCCAGGCCACAGAGAGGUUAGGCUGGCCUCAAUUAGAGCCAGGGGUUUUCGGCUGUGGCUCUAACUUGGUGGAACGCUCUGUCACAAGAGACAAGGGCCCUGCAGGACUUGACAUCUUUCCGCAGGGCCUGCAAGACAGAGCUGUUCCACCAGGCCUUUAGUCCGGGCACAGCCUGACUCCCUCCUUUGGCAAUCUUUACAGAUCUUUAGUUUAUGGUUGCCAUCAAUUUUGAUUUUAAUUAAUUUUUAUAAUGCUUUUAGAAUGUUGCACUAUUUUAGUGUUGUUAGCCGCCCUGAGCCCGGCUUCGGCUGGGGAGGGCGGGAUAUAAAUAAAAUUAUUAUUAUUAUUAUUAUUUAUUAUUAUUAUUAUUAUUAUACCUGUAUCCAACGCAGAGAUGCCCAGCAGCUCAGGCCAGGGUGCGAAAAGGCCCACAAUGAGAGAC